MGUCGAACGGUAACAGGCGCAAGGUGCUGACGAGUGGCGAACGGGUGAGUAAUGCAUCGGAACGUGCCCAGUCGUGGGGGAUAACGSAGCGAAAGCUGCCUUAAUACCGCCAUACGAUCUAUGGAUGAAAGCGGGGGACCGUAAGGCCUCGCGCGAUUGGAGCGGCCGAUGUCAGAUUAGGUAGUUGGUGGGGUAAAGGCUCACCAAGCCGACGAUCUGUAGCUGGUCUGAGAGGACGACCAGCCACACUGGGACUGAGACACGGCCCAGACUUCUACGGGAGGCAGCAGUUGGGAAUUUUGGACAAUGGGGGCAACCCUGAUCCAGCAAUGCCGCGUGCAGGAAGAAGGCCUUCGGGUUGUAAACUGCUUUUGUACGGAACGAAACGGCUCUGGUUAAUACCCGGGGCUAAUGACGGUACCGUAAGAAUAAGCACCGGCUAACUACGKGCCAGCAGCCGCGGUAAUACGUAGGGUGCAAGCGUUAAUCGGRAUUACUGGGCGUAAAGCGUGCVCAGGCGGUGCUGUAAGACAGGCGUUAAAUCCCCGGGCUUAACCUSGGGAUGGCGCUUKUGACUNCAGU
rnacentral:rRNA from 1 species